rnacentral:rRNA from 1 species
GGUUAAGCGACUAAGCGUACACGGUGGAUGCCCUGGCAGUCAGAGGCGAUGAAGGACGUGCUAAUCUGCGAUAAGCGUCGGUAAGGUGAUAUGAACCGUUAUAACCGGCGAUUUCCGAAUGGGGAAACCCAGUGUGAUUCGUCACACUAUCAUUAACUGAAUCCAUAGGUUAAUGAGGCGAACCGGGGGAACUGAAACAUCUAAGUACCCCGAGGAAAAGAAAUCAACCGAGAUUCCCCCAGUAGCGGCGAGCGAACGGGGAGCAGCCCAGAGCCUGAAUCAGUGUGUGUGUUAGUGGAAGCGUCUGGAAAGGCGCGCGAUACAGGGUGACAGCCCCGUACACAAAAAUGCACAUACUGUGAGCUCGAUGAGUAGGGCGGGACACGUGGUAUCCUGUCUGAAUAUGGGGGGACCAUCCUCCAAGGCUAAAUACUCCUGACUGACCGAUAGUGAACCAGUACCGUGAGGGAAAGGCGAAAAGAACCCCGGCGAGGGGAGUGAAAAAGAACCUGAAACCGUGUACGUACAAGCAGUGGGAGCACGCUUAGGCGUGUGACUGCGUACCUUUUGUAUAAUGGGUCAGCGACUUAUAUUCUGUAGCAAGGUUAACCGAAUAGGGGAGCCGAAGGGAAACCGAGUCUUAACUGGGCGUUAAGUUGCAGGGUAUAGACCCGAAACCCGGUGAUCUAGCCAUGGGCAGGUUGAAGGUUGGGUAACACUAACUGGAGGACCGAACCGACUAAUGUUGAAAAAUUAGCGGAUGACUUGUGGCUGGGGGUGAAAGGCCAAUCAAACCGGGAGAUAGCUGGUUCUCCCCGAAAGCUAUUUAGGUAGCGCCUCGUGAAUUCAUCUCCGGGGGUAGAGCACUGUUUCGGCAAGGGGGUCAUCCCGACUUACCAACCCGAUGCAAACUGCGAAUACCGGAGAAUGUUAUCACGGGAGACACACGGCGGGUGCUAACGUCCGUCGUGAAGAGGGAAACAACCCAGACCGCCAGCUAAGGUCCCAAAGUCAUGGUUAAGUGGGAAACGAUGUGGGAAGGCCCAGACAGCCAGGAUGUUGGCUUAGAAGCAGCCAUCAUUUAAAGAAAGCGUAAUAGCUCACUGGUCGAGUCGGCCUGCGCGGAAGAUGUAACGGGGCUAAACCAUGCACCGAAGCUGCGGCAGCGACGCUUAUGCGUUGUUGGGUAGGGGAGCGUUCUGUAAGCCUGUGAAGGUGUACUGUGAGGUAUGCUGGAGGUAUCAGAAGUGCGAAUGCUGACAUAAGUAACGAUAAAGCGGGUGAAAAGCCCGCUCGCCGGAAGACCAAGGGUUCCUGUCCAACGUUAAUCGGGGCAGGGUGAGUCGACCCCUAAGGCGAGGCCGAAAGGCGUAGUCGAUGGGAAACAGGUUAAUAUUCCUGUACUUGGUGUUACUGCGAAGGGGGGACGGAGAAGGCUAUGUUGGCCGGGCGACGGUUGUCCCGGUUUAAGCGUGUAGGCUGGUUUUCCAGGCAAAUCCGGAAAAUCAAGGCUGAGGCGUGAUGACGAGGCACUACGGUGCUGAAGCAACAAAUGCCCUGCUUCCAGGAAAAGCCUCUAAGCAUCAGGUAACAUCAAAUCGUACCCCAAACCGACACAGGUGGUCAGGUAGAGAAUACCAAGGCGCUUGAGAGAACUCGGGUGAAGGAACUAGGCAAAAUGGUGCCGUAACUUCGGGAGAAGGCACGCUGAUAUGUAGGUGAAGUGAUUUACUCAUGGAGCUGAAAUCAGUCGAAGAUACCAGCUGGCUGCAACUGUUUAUUAAAAACACAGCACUGUGCAAACACGAAAGUGGACGUAUACGGUGUGACGCCUGCCCGGUGCCGGAAGGUUAAUUGAUGGGGUCAGCGCAAGCGAAGCUCUUGAUCGAAGCCCCGGUAAACGGCGGCCGUAACUAUAACGGUCCUAAGGUAGCGAAAUUCCUUGUCGGGUAAGUUCCGACCUGCACGAAUGGCGUAAUGAUGGCCAGGCUGUCUCCACCCGAGACUCAGUGAAAUUGAACUCGCUGUGAAGAUGCAGUGUACCCGCGGCAAGACGGAAAGACCCCGUGAACCUUUACUAUAGCUUGACACUGAACAUUGAGCCUUGAUGUGUAGGAUAGGUGGGAGGCUUUGAAGUGUGGACGCCAGUCUGCAUGGAGCCGACCUUGAAAUACCACCCUUUAAUGUUUGAUGUUCUAACGUGGACCCGUAAUCCGGGUUGCGGACAGUGUCUGGUGGGUAGUUUGACUGGGGCGGUCUCCUCCUAAAGAGUAACGGAGGAGCACGAAGGUUGGCUAAUCCUGGUCGGACAUCAGGAGGUUAGUGCAAUGGCAUAAGCCAGCUUGACUGCGAGCGUGACGGCGCGAGCAGGUGCGAAAGCAGGUCAUAGUGAUCCGGUGGUUCUGAAUGGAAGGGCCAUCGCUCAACGGAUAAAAGGUACUCCGGGGAUAACAGGCUGAUACCGCCCAAGAGUUCAUAUCGACGGCGGUGUUUGGCACCUCGAUGUCGGCUCAUCACAUCCUGGGGCUGAAGUAGGUCCCAAGGGUAUGGCUGUUCGCCAUUUAAAGUGGUACGCGAGCUGGGUUUAGAACGUCGUGAGACAGUUCGGUCCCUA